CAAAAGCUUGGUCCUGACUUUACUAUCAGCUCUGGCCAGACUUACACAUGCAAGUAUCCGCGUUCCCGUGAGAAUGCCCUACGAUUCCCCUACAGGAAUCAAGGAGCCGGUAUCAGGCACAACUUCAGACGUUAGCCUACAACACCUUGCUCAGCCACACCCCCAAGGGAACUCAGCAGUGAUAGACAUUAAGCCCUAAGUGUAAACUUGACUUAGUUAAAGCCAAGAGAGCCGGUAAAACUCGUGCCAGCCACCGCGGUUAUACGAGAGGCUCAAGCUGAUAGACGCCGGCGUAAAGGGUGGUUAAGAAAUAACAAAACUAAAGCCGAACUUCUCCAAGGCUGUCAUACGCACCCGGAGAAAUGAAGAACCCCUACGAAAGUGGCUUUAAACCUCUGAACCCACGAAAGCCAGGAUACAAACUGGGAUUAGAUACCCCACUAUGCCUGGCCCUAAACAAAGGCAGCAUUCUCACACCUGCUGCUCGCCUGGGAACUACGAGCAUUAGCUUAAAACCCAAAGGACUUGGCGGUGCUUUAGAUCCACCUAGAGGAGCCUGUUCUAGAACCGAUAACCCCCGUUCAACCUCACCCUUUCUGGUCUUUCCCGCCUAUAUACCACCGUCGUCAGCUUACCCUAUGAAGGCCUUAUAGUAAGCAAAACUGGCAAAGCCUAAAACGUCAGGUCGAGGUGUAGCGCAUGAAAGGGGAAGAAAUGGGCUACAUUCACUGAUGCAGUGAACACGAACGAUAGCCUGAAAUAACUAUCUAAAGGAGGAUUUAGCAGUAAGGAGGAAAAUAGAGCGUUCCCCUGAAACUGGCCCUGAAGCGCGCACACACCGCCCGUCACUCUCCCCAAACCCACUGAAUACAAGUAAAUAACACACAAAAGACAUAAAGGGGAGGCAAGUCGUAACAUGGUAAGUGUACCGGAAGGUGCACUUGGAAAAC
rnacentral:ncRNA from 1 species